CUUAGUAUUAAAUUGAAUUUCUUUUGUUAGCAUUAGUAUUGAUUUUGAACUUUGUUUGAGUUACUACAUUUGGGCUUUAAAAUUUAUUUAUGUCACGACUCAAAAAUCCCUCCGAAGGAGUCGUGAUAGCAUAUAGUCUCUAAACUAGGUAAGCCUAACAUAAACUGAAAUAGCAUUGAUGCUUACUAACUUUAAAUUAACCAACUCUGAAUAAAUCAAAAUUCCCAAAACCGGUGGUACAAGUCACAAGCCUAUCUAAGAGUAAUUUCACAAAAAUAAUACAUCACUGCCCCGAAACAAAGGAGCAAAUGGAAGUAAAUACAAGUGAAGGUGACUUUGAGACCUGCGAACGCUGCAACAAGUUUACCUUAAGUCUCCACCGCAACGACCCGCACAACUACUAUCAAUCCACCUGGAUCUGUACAUAAAAAUGUACAAAAGUGUAGUAUGAGCACACCACGGCGAUGCCCAGUAAGUAUCAAGACUAACCUCGGUGGGGUAGUGACGAGGAACAGUCCGGACACCUACUGGUCAAAUGAAAUGAGCAAGAUAUGAUAAUAAAACAUCAAGAUAAAGAUAACGAAGUGAUAUCAACCGCUGAGAGAAAAUCCAAGUACAAAUAGUACAAUCAAUAAAGGAAGAACACGGAUGGUAACAAAUGAAAACCAAGUAAAUUAGAUAACCCAAGCAAUUCAACACUGAUGUAAUAGAGACGGAGACAAGUAAGAAUGUAUCCAAUUAAAGAAAACAAUGUCAACUCAAUCAAUCAUAUCAUGUUUAAUAUACCAUCCCGGCCAUUUCAAUCCUCGAUUUCUCAUAUUAUAAUCUCAACUUUCAAACUUUCAGCACAUAUGGCACCUCGUGCCCACAUAUUUUCCAUCUCACUCUUGACAACAAAGUCCACAUGAUAUACAAUACAAAAUAUCCUUACAAAUGCACUUAAGAUGUUCAAGAAGUCUUAUUUACAUAAUAUAAAUGAAAUUUCAAUUUCUAAAUAAGGUUGCAAAAUCGGCGAGAAAAGAUGAAGUUAUUUUUUUAGAAAUCAUUCGAGUAAGAAAGUACCCCUUUCAAUUUAAAAUACAACAUCGGAAGAAUUAUUACUCUUAAUAAGGGAGUUGAUAACUUAAAACUUAGUAGAAAUUCCCUUUUAAGAAAAAUACAACCUUAGACAGUUUAAGGGGAUAUGAUUGAGAAACUAAUUGAAUUAAGGAUGUAACAAUUAUUGAAGUUUGAAGUAUUGGAACGUAUAAAUAAAUAUAUAUAAAUACGGUAAAGUAUUAAAAACAUUGUGGAUUCUAACACAAAGGAUCACAUCAAUAAAGAAAUUAAAUACUUUAAACAUUUGAAUUGAUAACAACAAAUAAACACAACAGCAGAAAGUGCACGACAUCACCCUUCGUGCUUUUACUCUCGUUCUCACCAUAAGAAUCAAUAUUCACUUUUAUUCUUUCUUGUUGCGGCGUGCAACCCGGUCCCAAUCAUAUAUUACUGUUGCGGUGUGCAACCCGAUCCAAAAAAUAUUUUACUGUUGCGGCGUGCAACACGAUCCAAAUCAUAUAAUGAUGUUGCAGCGUGCAACCCGAUCCAUAUAAUAUUGUUGCGGCGUGCAACCCGAUCCCAAUGUACCAAUCAACACCAAUCACGAUAGAAUCCAGACAAAGGAAUAAUAAGAAAACAACAAUAUCCCCGCAAGGGAGUCAACAACAAGAAUAAACAUGUCCCGACAAGGGAACAAAUAGUAAGAAUUAAAUAUGUCCCGGUAAAGGAAUCAGCUAUAACCAAACUUGUACCAACAAUUAACUUCACAAUGAAACCCCAACUACACAACAAGACAUAAUAAGCACGUGAUAAUUACACCAACAACUACAACAAUUGGACAUGUAACAUAUUUGCACGAAGUCAUAGAGGAACUCACAAUCAAGAAGUAUCAAAACAAUAAGGAAGGCAAUCACUUCAACUAAGGCAAUUAAGGGUCAAUGUAACAUGUAAGAAUUAGAGGAAAGCUAACAACGUCAUAUGGACCAUAUAGAAGCAAUUUAAGCAACUAGGAAACCCAAUCAUAACAGGAUACUUUCCACAUAAGGACAUAAGAACCCUAGAGCAUAUUUCUCACAAAUAAGUCCGAGCACACACUCGUCACCUCGCAUGCACGGACUACAAUUAGCAAAGAGGACUCAAUCCUAAGGGGAAGUCCUCUACACAAGGUUAGGCAAGAUACUUACCUCAAAGACGACAACCCGGUACUCUAAAAUGAACUUCUCGGGUGAAAAGACCUCCAGACAGCUCAAAUCCAACUAUAACAACUCCAAAACACACAUAAAUUGAAUAAGGAACUAUUCCGAAUAAUAAAGUUUCAAUUUUUACAAAAAUAUAAAAAUCGACCCAAAAGUCGACCCCGGGACCACACCUCGGAACUCGUCAAAUUUUACAAAAUCCGAUCACCCAUUCCAAAAUGAGUUCAACCAUACAAAAUUUAUCAAAUUCCGAUAACAUUUUAUCCCUCAAAUCAUGAUUUUCCGUUUUGAAAUUUUUCUUCAAAAACCAACUCUUUCCCUAACCCAAAACAUAAUUUAAACGAUAAAAAUAAAGCCAAAUUCAUGGAAUAUAUUUAAUUCUAGUUGAAGAAUACUUACCCAAUCGAAUUUCGUGAAAACCCCUUCAAAAAUCGCCAAGAACCGAGCUCUAGAAGUCAAAAUAUGAUGAAAAUGGUAUAACCCUCGAUUUUGGAAUAUAUUCUAUCUGCCCAGGUGUUUGUUCAUUGCGAUCGCGGGAGACGUGAUGCGAUCGCGUAAAAGAAAAUAGCUACCGGCCCAAAAUGUUUUAUGCGAUCGCAGGCAAAUCAAUGCAAUCACAUAGAAGAAAAAUGCUGCUAUCCAAAUUUGUGUUAUGCUAUCGCGAACAAAUCAAUGCAAUCGCAUAGAAGGAAAAUGUUGCUGUCCAAAUUGGUGUUACGCUAUCGCGGACAAAACAAUGCAAUUGCAUAGAAGGAAAAUGCUGCUGUCCAAAUUUGUGUUAUGCUAUCGCAGACAAAUCAAUGCGAUCGCAUAGAAGGAAAUACCAGAUAGCAAAAGAACAGUUCAAACAUAGGAAAAAAUGAACCGUUGCCCAUCCGAAACACACCCAAGGCUCCCGGGACCCCGUCUAAUCACAUAAAUAAGUCAUAUAACCUAGGACGGACUCGCUCGAGGUUUCAAAUCACAUAAAACAACACCAAAACAACGAAUCAAACCAAAAAUCAAACUUAUGAAUUUCCAAAUCUUCAAAUAUCAAAAGUCAACUAUGGGUCAAACUUCUCCGUUUUCCAAACUUCAACUUUUCCAACUUUCGCCGAAAUGCCUCAAUCUACCCUACGGACCUCCAAAUCCGAAUUCGGACGCGCGCCUAAGUCCAAAAUCACCAUACGAAGCUGUUGAGAUCAUCCACGACCCAUUCCGGGGCCGCUUACCCAAAAGUCCAAUUCCGAUCAAAUUCUCACCGUUUAAACUUCCAAAGCUAGUUUCCUUCUUCCAAUUUGACCCUGAAUCAUCCAUUAACUGAAUUCAACCAUGCACGGAAGUCAAUACACAUAUUAUGAAGCUGCUCGAGACCUCAAACUGCCGAACCGGGCACAAUUUCUCAAAACGACCAGUCGGGUCGUUACAAUUUACCAUUCAAGAAUGUAAAGUCUAAACUUGAAAUAAUACGUUAAAAGAUAAAACCGUGAAAAAGUUUAAGAAAUAUUUAUAAAUUACAUUACAUUAAAUAUUUAUAUGUAUAAAAUAUUUUUUAAAAUUAUAUAAAUGUACUAUCGGGUUUGUUUGGUUUCAGUUUUUUUAGUUAAAACCAAACCAAACCAAUUAUGGUCGGGUUUUAUUUUCGACAUAACAUUAAAUAUUUAUUUUUUAUAAAAUAUUUUUAAAAGUUAUAUAAAUGUACUAUCGAGUUUGUUUGGUUUCGGUUUGAGUUUUUUUAGUUAAAAUCAAACCAAACCAAUUAUGGGCGGAUUUUAUUUUCCAAUACCAAACCAAAUCAAACCAAUUUUUUUUUUCUAAUUUGACUCAGAUUAUCGGUUUGGUGCAAUUUUUAUCAUUUUUCUUUGUACAUCCCUAGGUGUAUGCUUAGUUUUCAGUCUAUAUUUUUCUUAUCCUUUUCUCGUGUGUAAGAGAACUUUAUAUUGAAGAAGCAUGUGAACUUACUUGAACACCCUUUGCACAAAUUGGAUUGACUAAGAAGGAUAAGGGAAGUAACCUCACCUGUUCAUUACUUGAAAAUGAAUUUUUAACUUUACAACUUGUAUAUCAGUAUACAUUAUUUCAAGCAAGAUGUCAAAUAAAUUGAGUACUUUUUUCUCUUAAUUGUAACGGUUAAAAGGUAAAAGUGGCCUCUUAAUAUAAGGUUACAGGUGUAAUUUUUCAUAUUUUAAAAGAUAAGUGUGAAGAAAUAAUAUGUCUCAUCCUAAAAGUGCAAAAUGCAAAAUAGAGUAAUAAAUUUAGCAAUAAUAACUGCAUGAUAAAUUGAUGUUAUUUUAUGUUCUAAGAGAAUUUGCAUUUAUAUGAAACUUAAAUAGCAAUUAAUCAAUGUUUUAAUCAACCAAUAUUCAAACCACCAUAUAUAUUAAAUUUUACAAACAAAAAAGAAGCAGCUUUUAAAGGUACGUUCCGCCAGUCUCCUACUAUUUCUCAUUAAUCACACUUUCGUUAAGACGUAUGAUUGGGAAGAAGAGAAGUUGGCUAUCUUGUGUGUUUAACAAGUAUCCCAUAGGACAAUAAGAUUACUUUUUAAUAUUUAACUCUCAUAUUCAUAAUGUCAUCACAUUUAAGCAUGCCCCUGCAUUACUCCCUCCGAUCGUACUUUUUUAACUUUUGGCACACUCCUUAAUUAAGAAAAUACAAACUCCUAAAGAAAAAAGAAUGUAUUCACUAAAUUGUCCUUAAUUAAUUGUUACCUUAACAUAUUGAGAUAUGUAAAUUAGGGCAAAUCUUGAAAAAUAACAUUUAUUCCUUCUUGAUUACGUAAAAGAACACUUAUUUUGGACAAUUUUUUUUUUACUUAUUAUGGAUUAGAGGGAGUAAGUUAUAAUAAAUGCUAGCAGAGUUAUAUGUACUCCCGCUGCAACUCGUGCAAUUGGUAGAUUGGUAACUUGGAGAAUUAAUAGUUAGAGAUAUUUUAUUUGUUAGGUGUUCCUUAAAUUUUGUAGGUACUAUAAAGAAAGAAGAGUUAACCUAAAUAAAUGAAUAAUUUAAACUUAAAAUGGUCAACAGAUGAAUAACUAAUGCGCGCACACACAUAUAUAUAUAUGAAAAAUUAAUUCCAAAGAAAACUUAGUUAUUACGGAAAAUGUUAUAAAGAUGUCUGAUUAUAUAAAUAAGUGCAAUGAUCGUAUAAAGAAAGAUUUUUACAAUAGGUCUAUAUUUAAGUUUCAAAGUCAAUGUAUGCUCAACUUAGUUAAAAUAACACGGUCUAGCCAGUUUUCGAACUGGUCAUUCAAAAAUAGUCAGCAUUUGCUAAGUCAAUGAAAAAUAGUCAUUACUUUACUGUAACAGAGACCGGUCCAGCAUAAUAUACUGGAGUUCGGUGCACCUGUGUAUGAACUUCCAGCAUAUUAUGCUGGACUGGUAUACUUUGCUGGCUCCAGUAUAAUAUACUAGAGACUGAAGCACCGGUGCUCCAAACUCCAGUAUAUUAUGCUGAACCGGUAUAUUAUGCUGGAGUAUUUUUCCGAAUUUUGAACAAUAUUUUCAUUCAGAUUUAUCUUUACAUUAAAAGUGGCUAAAUUUUGAUUACUUUUGGAACUGUAGUUAUUUUUGAGACCACUUGUAAAUCUGACUAUUUUUUAAUUUCUCCCCUCAGCUUAUAAUGUUCUUAUCUAAGAUCUCUAAUAGGACUAAUUAAUUAACAAUAAGAGUGUCAUACCCACCCCAUUUUUAUUUUUUUUACCUUAACCCCUUUUAAAAUAGAUAUAAAGUAAUUUAAAGCUCCAAGGGAUUUUCAAUUUGAAAGCGACGAAAAUUGUGUUUCAAAGGAUUUUGAGAGUCGCCGCUUGACAUAUAAUCUGGUGUGCCAAGUCACCAUUUUAAAAACAAUUUUCCCUUAAAAAUAUUUUGACUCUAAAACAUAGUUUGCACAUGAAAUUCUAAGAGAUCCAUUUGACUCGGGUAGAAGAUGUUAGACAUUUAUCGAAUCCCGUAACUAGUAGGGUUCAUACUUGAUCAAAUUGGCUUUUAAGAAUAUUGAGGUAAAACACACCCAAAAAAAAAACACAAAGAGGUUCUAGCUUGUCCCCACCUAAAAAGGAAAAAAAGGAAAUAAAAGUCCUAAACUAGCAUAUACUAAUGCUUCCUCGAAGGAACGUCCGUCUUCAAUUACAUGUGCUUCGGGGCAUUUUCGGAUAAAAAUAUUUACAAAGUCUACGGAAUAUAAACUAAAGGGAACGACCUCUCCUCACACUCACAUAAAAGAAAAGAAAAGGCCUAAAGUUUGUUUAUCGAAGUGUGGUCGGCCUAAGUAUACUACUUUCAAUCAAACUCAUGAGAGUAAGAAUAAAAGAGCGAUAAAAUUAUCUGAGCUCAAUUUCCUCCACGUUUUAAAAGCCAACUCCCACAACUUCCAUUCAAUCUACUUGAUUAUGUUAAUUUAAUUAUUAUUUUUUGCCAUCAAAGUAGUAACUAUGAGGCCUUAAACAUUUUAUCUCGAAAUGAAACAAAGAAUUAGAAACUCAUUUUUAGGCAUCAAAACCCACCCGAACAGAUUAAACAAAACGACAACAAAAACGAUGAUCAAUAGAAGGAAACCGAGUACACAAGUAUUACUGAGACACCCCAAACAGAACAAUAAAAUAUCAACUCAAACGAUCAACAAGAUAGAGAAGCAACAAUCAGCGAAACAAAGGAAAGCACGGUAUUAAGCAAAACAACAGAAUAAGGGAGAAAUAGACCUCAAAUGAACCUGAAAUUUAAUUGUUUGAUAGUUUGGCAACGCAAUGGGACAGAAUAGCCAACUAGAUCUCCACCAAAAUUGAAGAACGUGGCUUGGACCGGAAAAUCGAAUGGAGACCUCGAACAGGUGGCAGAUUGAUCGAACUCCACAGGAGAAACUCAAACCUUGCCGACGAACUCGAAUCCUACUCAAACAAGAGAGUACCGACGCACAAAGAGUAAACCAAAACUUUGCGUUCAGAUCUUUCGGAGUUGUCCGGCGUAACUUAUCGAGCCUUGUUGCUCUGUUUUUGGAGAGACAAACAGGAACAAAAUAUGGUUAUGGUGUUUUCGGUGGUGAAGGAGACGAAUUGGUGGUUGACCGGCGGAACAGAGAUGAAGGACGGUGGCUUCUGCGGCUGGGAUCUAUAUAUAAGAAAAGGGAUUUCAACUUGGAGAGGAAGGAAUGUGUGAGCAGAAGGAAUCAAUUUAAAAUUGUGAUAAAAAAGAAUCAAAUUCUGUUACGAUGGAAGGAGAGCACGUGAAUUUUAGGGAGGAAAAUCAAUUUAGAAGAAUAAGAGAAUUAAGGAAAGGAUAAAAUAUAGGGGGCCACAUACAACUACAAUUAUCUGAUUCUCUUUCCACCUUCUUUUCCUUUUCUUUGAUUUUUUCCUUUUGCUUUUCACGUUCUUUGCUUC
rnacentral:lncRNA from 1 species